rnacentral:tRNA from 1 species
GGCACCGUAGCCAAGUGGUAAGGCAGCGGUCUGCAAAACCGCUAUUCGCGGGUUCGAUUCCCGCCGGUGCCUCCU